rnacentral:misc_RNA from 1 species
CAAAUACAGUUUAUGGCCUUAAAAAGUUGUAUGUGUGUUUUCAACACCUAUUAUUGGCCUCUAUUUUCAUUUUUGGAGUGUGGACCAUAAUUCUCAGUGAGCAUUGUUCUUCCUGCAACUAUUAUAAGAUUUCUCAUGAACUAUAGAAAUGUUCAUUGGGAUAAUUCAGUGUUAUAUGGUUGUUAUUUGGGAAGGAAUAUUCUUUCUUUGCUUUAAUGUUUUCUCUUGGAUCUAUUGUUUAUAUGCUUAAAAAUCUAACAUCUUUAUUCUCAUUCCAAUGUUUUUUUAGAUCAUAUAAAUUAUGGGUCAGGUUAACAGUUGCUAUUUUUUACUUAUUUGUCAAUUUGACAGGUAAGUGCCCCAAGAGUAUGUG